GUGCCAACAGUAUCGUUAGUGCUCUAUGUAUAGUUCGUCACAUUUUAUCAAACGUUUACAAAGAAAUUAUAGGAAGAAUUUAUUAUAUAAUAACAUCUAUUUGUGCCAUGGAAUAUUGGUCGAUACUAUUAUCGAUAGUCAUCGGCGUGAUAAGCAUUCAUUAUCUUUUCAAAAAUUUUAAUUUCUUUAAAAGAAAUGGAAUUAUACACAUACCGCCUCUUCCAUUAUUCGGAUCCUCGAUAUCAAUUAUAUUUCGUCGAACAUCAUUCUUCGAUUUCUUACUGAAGAUGUACAAUUUCAAUCCAAACGCAAAAUAUUUUGGAAUGUACUUUAUUACAAAUCCAGUUUUCUUCCUUCGCGAUCUGGAACUCAUUAAAACUGUUCUUGUCAAAAAUUUCGAGGCAUUUCCAGAUCGUCGUGGUUUUGCUGACUUUAACGAUCCUUUAUUUGAGAAAAAUUUGUUUUCUCUUCACGGAGAAAAAUGGCGGAACGUGAGAAAUCUACUAAGUCCAUCUUUUACUUCUAGUAAGAUGAAAAUGAUGUUCACGUUGAUGUCUGAAUGUGCUGUGGAUUUUGCGAAAUUUCUGUCAACAUCAUUAGUGGAUAAAGGCGAUAUAAAUAUGAAAGACAUCUGCUCUAAAUAUACGACUGACGUUAUCGCCACAUGUGCUUUCGGAAUUAAGAUCAACUCUAUGAAAGAUCCAACGAACAAAUUCUACAUUUACGGCAAGGAGGCGAGUAACUUUAGAGGGGUCAUUCGCGGUAUAAAAUUCUUUUUUGUUGGAACGUUUCCAAAACUUGGACGAUUUCUUAAUUUAAAAAUAAUGAACAAUUACGUGUCGGAUUUCUUCAAAGACAUUAUAAAGACCACAAUUGCGACUCGUGAUGCAAAACACAUUACACGUCCGGAUAUGCUACAAUUAAUGAUGGAUAUUAGAGGCAAAGAGGGUCGUAGAGAACUAGACAUCGACGACAUGACUGCACAAGCAUUCAUCUUUUUUCUCGGUGGUUUCGAAACGACUUCAACCGCAAUGUGCUUUGCAGCUCACGAAAUUGCAGCUAAUCCUGAAAUUCAGAUUAAAUUACAACAAGAGAUCGACAACGUUUUGCAGAAGUCGAAUGGAGAAGUAUCUUACGAAUCUAUUAAUCGACUUGAAUAUUUAGAUGCUGUGAUAAGUGAGGCUCUUAGAUUAUAUCCACCACUCAUGGCUUUAGACAGGAUAUGCGAAAAAACUUUUGAGUUACCACCCGCAUUACCGGACGAGAAACCUUUUAUUAUGAAGAAAGGUAUGCUUGUUUGGAUUCCCGUUCUUGCAAUCCAUCAUGAUGAAAAGUAUUACGAUAAUCCGAAGAAAUUUGAUCCUGAAAGAUUUUUAAACAACAAGAUGCACAAUUCUUCGAGUUAUAUGCCAUUCGGAUUAGGACCGAGAAUGUGCAUAGCUAACAGGUUUGCCAUGCUGGAAGUCAAAGUCUUGCUGUUUCACUUAUUAGCACGAUGUGAGCUGAAACCUUCUGUAAAAACUACAUCCCCAUUAAAAUUUGGCAAAGAUUUCAUGUUAAUACCGGAAAAUGGUUUUUGGUUGAAUAUUCAGCGUAGAAAAAAUAUACAUCCUGCUCUGGAGACUGAACUAAUAGAAAGCUAAGAAAAAACAUUUCAAAUGGUUCAUGAUGGUACUUCAAGUCUGACAAAUCGUAUCGGCGACAAACUGUGUGAUGUACGAACACAAGUAUUAUGAGACAUCAUCAUAAUGAUUCAUUUCGAC